CCUUGUGUGGCCUAAUCGGUUAUCGUGUCUGGCUCGCAACCGAAGGGUUGUGGGUUCGAAUCCCGCCUAAAAUU
rnacentral:tRNA from 1 species